rnacentral:rRNA from 1 species
AGUAAAUAGAUACCCGGGUAGUCCACGCCGUAAACGAUGAAUACUAGGUGUAGGGGUUGUCAUGACCUCUGUGCCGCCGCUAAACGCAUUAAGUAUUCCGCCUGGGGAGUACGGUCGCAAGAUUAAAACUCAAAGGAAUUGACGGGGGCCCGCACAAGCAGCGGAGCAUGUGGUUUAAAUUCGAAGCAACGCGAAGAACCUUACCUAAACUUGACAUCUCCUGAAUUACUCUGUAAUGGAGGAAGCCCUUCGGGGCAGGAAGACAGGUGGUGCAUGGUUGUCGUCAGCUCGUGUCGUGAGAUGUUGGGUUAAGUCCCGCAACGAGCGCAACCCUUAUUGUUAGUUGCUACCAUUAAGUUGAGCACUCUAGCGAGACUGCCCGGGUUAACCGGGAGGAAGGUGGGGAUGACGUCAAAUCAUCAUGCCCCUUAUGUCUAGGGCUACACACGUGCUACAAUGGCUGGUACAGAGAGAUGCUAAACCGCGAGGUGGAGCCAAACUUUAAAACCAAGUCUCAGUUCGGAUUGUAGGCUGAAACUCGCCUAC